AGCAGCCGCGGUAAUUCCAGCUCCAAUAGCGUAUAUUAAAGUUGUUGCAGUUAAAAGCUCGUAGUUGAAUUUCGGGAUCAAUUUAUUGGUCGUGCAAUAGUACGUACUGGUAUUAUUGGUUCCUACCUUCUGAUGAACCAUGAUGUCAUUAAUUUGGUGUUAUGGGGAAUCAGGACUGUUACUUUGAAAAAUUAGAGUGUUUAAAGCAGGCUCACGCUUGAAUACAUUAGCAUGGAAUAAUGAAAUAGGACGUUUGAUUCUAUUUUGUUGGUUUCUAGGAUCGACGUAAUGAUUAAUAGGGAUAGUUGGGGGCAUUAGUAUUCAAUUGUCAGAGGUGAAAUUCUUGGAUUUAUUGAAGACUAACUACUGCGGAAGCAUUUGCCAAGGAUGUUUUCAUUAAUCAAGAACGAAAGUUAGGGGAUCGAAGACGAUCAGAUACCGUCGUAGUCU
rnacentral:rRNA from 1 species